AUAUUUACCCGGCAGGGGAGAUACCAUGAUCAUGAAAGUGGUUUUCCCAGGGUGAGGCUUUUCCGUUCUGAUGAACUGACCCCUGGGAUUUCCCCAAAUGUGGAAAACUCGACUGCAUAAUUUGUGGUAGUGGGGACUGCAUUCGUGCUAUCCCUAA